CUUGUAGUCCACGAUCAGCUCCUUUAUCUAGCUGACGUUAAGGGAGAAGUUGUUGUCCUUGCACCCCACUGUCAGGUCUCUGACCUCCUCCCUGUAGGCUGUCUCAUCGUUAUCGGUGAUCAGGCCUACCACCGUUGUGUCGUCUGCAAACUUAAUGAUGGUGUUGGAGUAAUGCGCGGCUACGCAGUUGUGUGUGAACAGGGACUACUGGAGGGGACUAAGCACAUACCCAUGAGGGGCUCCCAUGUUGAGGGUCAGCGUGGUGGAUGUUGCCUACCAUCUGGUUGUUGUUUCGUGUUGGUAUUAAUUGACUGAUGAUAGUUCUUAACAUAGUCCAGCUCCGUACUAUUUUGUCUUGGACACGGCUUAUUACUUAGGCUGUGAUUCAAUCCGAUCAGAUGUAGAUCCGCAUUGUAGCUUACUUGAAAUUGAAAGGUAAUUUCUGAUUGAGCUGACAUGCAGCGUGAGAAAAAAAGGUGCGUAGCCCACAAAGCGUGAACUAUUGGUGCUGUGAAAGGGGCAAUCCCAAGAUUCAAGUUGGGCCUUCUGCGCACCAAAACAAUUCUAGAAAUGUCUGAACUUCUCAUCUCUACAGAUAUCAGAUCUAGGUCCAUCAGCAAUAUCAGGAAGUUCCUGUUAGGGUAAAUGGCCGUCUUCUGGACUACUUUCGGAAGGGCACGAUGGAGAGAGAUGUGAUGAUACAACGUGAGGUACGCCAACACUAAGGUAGACGAUCUGCUCAUACCCAUAAUACAAUGCAUGAGAACCUUCCCUGGAGAGGAGAAGUGAGAAGAUGAGAAGAGCAGAGAAAACAAUGUGAUGUAGAGGGAUUAGUGAGAGGCCUCCGUCUUAUUAAUAUCAUACAUGACUGCCCGUCUCAACUUGUGGCAUUUCUAUUCCUUUCAGAGAGCUAAAUAUAGGGUCCAUAAUUCAUUGCCCAUUGCUCAUUUAAGGUCCCUUUGCAGAGAGAGAGAGGCUGCCUGCCUGGCUGUCACAUAAAUCCCAUACUUCCUGUCCUCUGGUGAAGAGGCUCUCUGAGAGGAGCCAGUGUAAUGUCAUUCUGAAAGAUGAACGUGGUACCUUCAGGCGUUUGGAAAUUGUUCCCAAGGAUGAACCAGACUUGAGGGGGUCUACAAUUUUCUUUCUGAGGCCUUGGCUGAUUUCUUUUGAUUUUCCCAUGAUGUCAAGCAAAGAGGCACUGAGUUUAAAGUUUCGUAUCCAACGCUCUGAGUUGUUUUAGGAAUCCUGUAUUUGGAAAGAUCCACCUGUGCUCUUUGACCUUUGUGAUGGCAUCUAGCAAGGAGUAAUGGUGAUGGAUCAUCAAGUAGGCCAGCACCAG